GACGAACGCUGGCGGCGUGCCUAAUACAUGCAAGUCGAACGCAGUGGGGACGGGUGAGUAACACGUGGGUAACCUCCCAUCAGAGGGGAUAACACUUGGAAACAGGUGCUAAACCGAUACUGAUGGAUGAACCCGCGGUGCAUUAGCUAGUUGGUGAGGUAACGGCUCACCAAGGCAACGAUGCAUAGCUGAUCUGAGAGGGUGAUCAGCCACACUGGGACUGAUGCACUGCCAAGACUCCGUCGGGAGGCAGCAUGAGUGAAUCUUCGGCAAUGGACGAAAGUCGGACCGAGCAACGCCGCGGGAGUGAAGAAUGUGUUCGGAUCGUAAAACUCUGUUGUUAGAGAAGCGGGAUCUAACCAGAAAGCCACGGCUAACUACGUGCAAGCAGCCGCGGUAAUAC
rnacentral:rRNA from 1 species